rnacentral:rRNA from 1 species
CGUGUAGGCGGCCAGAUAAGUCCGCUGUGAAAUCUCGAGGCUCAACUUCGAGCUGUCGGUGGAAACUAUCUGGCUAGAGUCCGGAAGAGGAGAAUGGAAUUCCUGGUGUAGCGGUGAAAUGCGCAGAUAUCAGGAAGAACACCCGUGGCGAAGGCGGUUCUCUGGGACGGUACCGACGCUGAGACGCGAAAGCGUGGGGAGCGAACA